rnacentral:rRNA from 1 species
UACGUAGGUGGCAAGCGUUGUCCGGAAUUACUGGGCGUAAAGGGCGUGUAGGCGGCAAUCUAAGUCGGGCGUGAAAGAUCAGGGCUUAACCUUGGGACUGCGUUUGAAACUGGAUGGCUAGAGGAUCGGAGAGGGCAGUGGAAUUCCCAGUGUAGCGGUGAAAUGCGUAGAUAUUGGGAGGAACACCAGUGGCGAAGGCGACUGCCUGGACGACACCUGACGCUGAGGCGCGAAAGCUAGGGGAGCAAACGGG